GACGAACGCUGGCGGCGUGCUUAACACAUGCAAGUCGAACGGUGAAGCGCCUUCCUUUUUGGUGGGUGUGGAUGAGUGGCGAACGGGUGAGUAACACGUGAGUACCUGCCCCCUUCUUCUGGAAAACCGGAUGAAAGUGUGGCUUAUACCGGAUCAUCUGGGUCUGUCGGAUGGUGGGUUUAGGGAAGCUAUUGCUUCGGUGGGGGAUGGGCUCGCGGCCUAUUAGCUUGUUGGUGGGGUGAUGGCCUACCAAGGCGGUGACGGGUAGCCGGCCUGAGAGGGUGGACGGUCACACUGGGACUGAGACACGGCCCAGGCUCCGACGGGAGGCAGAAGGGGGGAAUAUUGCACAAUGGGCGCAAGCCUGAUGCAGCGACGCCGCGUGAGGGAUGGAGGCCUGCGGGUUGUGAACCUCUUUCGCCAGUGAAGCAGGCCUGCCUCGUUUGUGGGUGGGUUGACGGUAGCUGGAUAAGAAGCGCCGGCUAACUACGUG
rnacentral:rRNA from 1 species